GCCAGUCGUACGAGAGUUUUUAACUCUAGUGGCGGACGGGUAAGUAACACGUGUAGAAUUUACCUUUAGGAGGGGGAUAACAAUUGGAAACGAAUGCUAAUACCCCAUAUGCUUUCGAGUGAAAUGGAUUUAUAUUUAUUCGCCUAAAGAGAAGCUCGCGGCUGAUUAGCUUGUUGGUAAGGUAAGAGCUUACCAAGGCGACGAUCAGUAUCUGGUUUGAGAGGACGAUCAGACACACUGGAACUGAGACACGGUCCAGACUCCUACGGGAGGCAGCAGUGGGGAAUUUUCCGCAAUGGGCGAAAGCCUGACGGAGCAAUACCGCGUGAGGGAAGACUGCCUAUGGGUUGUAAACCUCUUUUUUCAGGGAGGAAUAAAUGACGUGUACCUGAAGAAUAAGCAUCGGCUAACUCCGUGCCAGCAGCCGCGGUAAGACGGAGGAUGCAAGUGUUAUCCGGAAUCACUGGGCGUAAAGCGUCUGUAGGUGGUUUAAUAAGUCAACUGUUAAAUCUUGAGGCUCAACUUCAAAAUCGCAGUCGAAACUAUUAGACUAGAGUAUAGUAGAGGUAAAGGGAAUUUCCAGUGGAGCGGUGAAAUGCGUAGAUAUUGGAAAGAACACCGAUGGCGAAAGCACUUUACUGGGCUAUUACUAACACUCAGAGACGAAAGCUAGGGUAGCAAAUGGGAUUAGAUACCUCAGUAGUCCUAGCCGUAAACUAUGGAUACUAGAUGUUGAACAGAUCGACCUGUGCAGUAUCAAAGCUAACGCGUUAAGUAUCCC
rnacentral:rRNA from 1 species